UUAGUAUGUAAAGUGUAGAGUGUGCACUCAUUGGAGACUAAGAAAUGUUUGUGUGCAGAGUGUGCACUCACUGGAGCAGCCCACACUUGGAUUUGCAUGUGCACUUGCUGCUUUUUUUUUUUCUUUGUAACUUCUCACUUUGAACUACCAACUUGUAAUAGUUUAAUUUUUGUGCUUGUUUUUUUCUUAGAAGUUUAAGAUAUGUUUUCAUUAUAUUGUAAUAUUGUAUGGUGUGGAAUGUUUUUAGAGAUGAUUGCCUUUUAUAGAGAAUCUUGGUAUUAAUGGUAUAUUAUUUUUACUGAGAAAAAAUUGAAAUCUAACAUAUAAAAUUAGUAAAAUAAUUUGAUAAAACUUGAGUAACGGUUAAUGGUUAAUCGGGGAACUGUAUCGAAAAACCGAUAAACCGUUUAUGCGGUUGAUAAAUGCGUAAAAUAAUAUAUUUAUCUCCCCUUAUUUUAUUAUUAUAAGUAUGUUUAUAUUAUUAUUUUAAUGCAUUUCAUAUAUUUUUAAUAUUAUCAAAUAUAAUAUGAUAGGUUUUUAUUAUUUACUAAUAUUACUUAAUUAUAAUAUUUUUUGUUUCAUGAUGAAUCUUAGUCCAAGGAAUGAAGAAAGAGUCAAAGUCCAAAAUGCAAAUCCUGCAGAAUAUAAAUGCAAAACCCAAAUAGAAGACAAGAAGACAAAGCCCAAAAGAAAGAAAAAAUAAAAAUAAAAAAAAGAGAAAAGAAAACAGAAGAACAAAAUCAAGAGGAGAAGCACGUGAGAAUUGAAGCAAAGAAAAGAUAACAGAGGAACGCAUCAUCUCCCUCUUCGGUCCUCUCUCUUCGACACCCCAUCAUCCUCCUUCAAACCGCCUCUUUCCAUCACCCUUCUCCACCAAUGAAGAAACACACAACAACUUGCACGACACAGCAACUUGCACGACACAGCAACUUGCAACCAAUCACGACCAACCGUCGACCUGCAGCGCCGCAAAGCCGCAAAGGAGAAGGCGGUUUCAACCCGAAACUUGGGGCCUAAUUCUCCUCUUUAAUUGGUUCGAAAUUCUGCAUUUUGGGCGGCGAAUUGGGGUAUAAAUACCCCAUUGAAGGUUCCGAAAAAAGGAUGCAAGAAUUUCCACAGAAAAUUGAGUGAUAAAAAAUCAGAGAAUUUCGCGAGGUUUCGGGGGCUAAUUUGGAGUGCGCAAGUUCGACGGAGGACAGCCUUGGGUUGGAGUCCUAGCACACAAACCGGGGAGGGUGAAGUUCAAGUUCGAUUGUAGGUGCGAAAUCCGAAUUUCGAAGGCGAAUUUCCGCGCUAUACAUAAGUUCAAUUUCAAGUAAAGAAGUUAAUUGAAUUUCAUCCAACUUUCUUUCAGAAUCUCGAAGGGAAUUUCAUAUUUUAAGGUUAGUUUUCUCCCCAAUUUUUUGUUUUACUAGUGUAAUUUUAGAUUUGUGCAACAUUCAAACCUAUUUCGUACUAUUAUAUUACCAAUUUUCGAUUUUGAGAAUUAGGUUCGAUUUGUGUAAAUUUGCAUGAUUUUUGGUUGAUUUCUGCGAAAUUAUUUUUGAGGAUUAAGUUGGAUUUGUUCAAUUCAAUAAUACAUUUUCCCCCUUGGUUCGAUUUGCCCCCAACCUUUGUGUAGAUCUUUUGUCAUUUUCACAUUAUUUGAUAGUGUUGGUUAGAAUUCCAUAUAGAUCUAAUGGACUUCAUGUUUAUUGAACAAAAUGAUUGCCUAUUUUUCAUGUAACUGGGAUGAAUUAAUGGCUAUUGUUUCAUGUAAUUGGGAUGAAGAGGUUGUUAUUGUUUCAUAUAGCUGGGUUGAAACAGUUGUGCUUAUUUUAUGGAUUUGGCAUGAAGCUUACAAACAUAGCCUAGCAUCUUAUGUGUAUCUCUCUGUCAGAUUGCAAACCAUAACUAUAAGGACUGAAGAAGCAACAUUCUUUGUCUCAAAAGACCACGACCCUGAACACAGAGGAACCCACACUGCAUCAUUUUUUUAUAAUAAUUGGGUGUCAGCCUGUCAGGUAGCAUGGUACACUACAAUAGCAAGAGAGAAUAGUUGUCAAUGAUAAUUGAUUGAGAUCAUCAUUAUAUAAUCAUCCCCUCCAUCUCUUUAUUUAGCCUAGAGAAAAGUUUCGUAGUUCCACUAAACCAGUAACUAUCAAAGUCUUAACUACACAUGAGAAAAUUUACAUGGAGAAAUGCUGCAAAGUUGGUAUUGCACCCUCACAAGUGAACUGUAGUUUUUGUCAGGGUGCUCUAUAAAUAAACCACAUUAACUUAUGUAUGCAGAUGAAAAAGAAGAUGAAGACACAUUCGACCUCCCUCACUUUGCUUUAGAACAGUUAUUAGAAUCAUUUUAUAACUAGUGAAGUCUUUGUCUACUAAUGAUGAGGACCACAUAUUAGUUAGCUUUACAAUUAAAUUUGAUUGUAGGUAAUCCAUGUAGGCCACAACUUCUCAGUAAGUACAUGAAAAUAACAUCUGCCUAGUUAUCUUAUUUGGUGUUUUAUUUGGUAAUGACUUAGUAAACAUAGAAAAUUGGAAGAGCAAUGUCUAUUAGUGUAAGCUGUGUACUAACUUGCUAGUCAUUUCUGUGGUGGGUGAAACAACACCCAGUUAAAAAAUCUCCAACCCUUGAACCGUGAUACUCUCUAAGGAACCAGAACUUCAGGUAGCAACUCUUCUCAUUCCCUCCCUCUCAUCUCACAAUCUAUAUUACUAUUUUUUUAAUCAAAACAUUAUGCCACAUUUGACUUCGUCUAAUCUUGAUAAAUUUGCUUAUAAUUUUAUGGAGGUAAAAUUUUCUAUUUUUUAUUCUUACCCUGCUCCUUGCAUUUAAUUCAAUCAUUUCAUAAUUUACUUAUUUCUUAUUAACUUAUGUAUGCAAAUGACAAAUAAACUAAAAAGAAGACUCGUUUAGACGGUAGGAAAGUAACAUUUUAUGCCAGGGCUACUCGUGCGGCUAGGAGAUCAUCACAGGAUCCUGAUUCGGGUGUUGGCGGUUUCAACGAGGAACAUGUUUUCGAACCAGAGCAACCCGAGGAAGAUCAUCCCAGGAUCAUGAUUUGGGUAAAACGUCCUCGUACUUGUGAUUGGAAGUUGACUGCACCAGCACCAGGAGGACCACUAUCUACAGAUUUGCUACGUGUUUAUCAAUGUCAUGUAGAUUGUUACAUUUGGGAGAAAAAUGUGAGUACUUAUGUGUGGUAGAUUGGUUUGUUAUCAGAAUUUCAUCAAAUUUGUAUCGGAAAAAGCAAUAAAUGAAAUAUCAAUAUGGUAGUUUUUUAA